rnacentral:lncRNA from 1 species
UUGUUGCAGAGAGAAUUCAUAUCAAGAUUAACUUCAUUAUUUAAUUCGAAUGGAAUCCAAAAGCGGUAUAAAUCUGAAGGAUAAAAAAGUAAUAACAAAAGUCACAUUUCAACCGCAAUUAAUAGCAGAUAUCAGAAAAUAAUUUCAGUAAAAAAGAAAGCAAAGAUUAGAACUCAACCCACUUCUACAUUAGUAAGAAUAAGAAUGAUUAAGCUUAAUCUAGAGAGAGAAACACAAAGAUCAAAACAUCAGCAUUUAUUUUUGAAACACAAAGAUCAAAAUUUUAGGCAUUUACUUCUGAAACAAAAUAAAUGAACAAAACC